UACGUAGGGUCCGAGCGUUGUCCGGAUUUAUUGGGCGUAAAGAGCUCGUAGGCGGUUUCGUAAGUCGGAUGUGAAAACUCAGGGCUCAACCCGGAGACGCCAUCUGAUACUGCGAUGACUUGAGUCUGGUAGGGGAUCACGGAAUUCCUGGUGUAGCGGUGAAAUGCGCAGAUAUCAGGAGGAACACCAAUUGCGAAGGCAGCUCGCUGGGACGUUACUGACGCUGAGACGCGAAAGCGUGGGGAGCAAACAGG
rnacentral:rRNA from 1 species